rnacentral:rRNA from 1 species
ACUCAAAUGAAUAGACGGGGGCCCGCACAAGCGGAGGAGCAUGUGGUUUAAUUCGAUGAUACGCGAGGAACCUUACCCGGGCUUGAACGUAAGACGAAUAUAGUGGAAACAUUAUAGCCUACGGGCGUCUUGCGAGGUGCUGCAUGGUUGUCGUCAGCUCGUGCCGUGAGGUGUUAGGUUAAGUCCUGCAACGAGCGCAACCCUUACACAUAGUUGCCAGCAUGUAAAGAUGGGGACUCUAUGUGAACUGCCUACGCAAGUAGAGAGGAAGGUGGGGAUGACGUCAAAUCAGCACGGCCCUUAUGUUCGGGGCUACACACGUGCUACAAUGGCAUGUACAGAGGGCAGCCACCAUGCGAAUGGGAGCCAAUCCUCAAAACAUGUCUCAGUUCGGAUUGGAGUCUGUAACUCGACUCUAUGAAGUUGGAUUCGCUAGUAAUCGCGCAUCAGCCAUGGCGCGGUGAAUACGUUCCCGGGCCUUGUACACACCGCCCGU